rnacentral:lncRNA from 1 species
UUAUACUAAGUAUAAAGCAAUAAGAUGUGCAAAUACGAUGUCUAUGCGGAACUUUUAGAUUGGUUUCCUUGAUUUGUAGAUGUACAAUUUGUUUGUUUAAAAUGAUUGAACAAAGAUAAUUUUUCUUCACACGCCGCCUAACGCAUGGAGACCUUGAGUGUUGUCCAGCCACACGCAUGCCCCAUAAAAAGAAAAAGAUGAUUAGCAUGGAAAAUUGCUUCCAUAUUUUUGUCUUCU